CGUCAUUAUCAACCAUCAAGCACAGCUUGGCAUUGACUGUCACCCCCCGAGAGGAGGGAGCGGUCUAAAAGAGUCGGCUUUGGAUUUACACCAGACGGCGUUAGUAAUACUUCCCGUCGAGCUGGUUUCCUUCAAAGGCCUCCAAAACCCAACACCUUAAGGUUGACCUCGGAUCAGGUAGGGAUACCCGCUGAACUUAA
rnacentral:misc_RNA from 1 species